UACGGGGGGAACAAGCGUUGUUCGGAUUUACUGGGCGUAAAGGGCGCGUAGGCGGCGCGACAAGUCACUUGUGAAAUCUCCGGGCUUAACCCGGAGCGGCCAAGUGAUACUGUAGUGCUAGAGUGCGGAAGGGGCUACUGGAAUUCUCGGUGUAGCGGUGAAAUGCGCAGAUAUCAGGAGGAACACCGGUGGCGAAGGCGGGUCUCUGGGCCGUAACUGACGCUGAGGGGCGAAAGCGUGGGGAGCGAACAGG
rnacentral:rRNA from 1 species